rnacentral:rRNA from 1 species
AUUGAACGCUGGCGGCAGGCUUAACACAUGCAAGUCGAGCGAGCGGCGGACGGGUGAGUAAUGUUUGGGGAACUGCCUGAUGGAGGGGGUUAACUACUGGUAACGGUGGCUAAUAACGCAUAUUAUCGGAUGGGCCCAUAUGGGAUGAGCUAGUAGGUGGGGUAAUGGCGCACCUGGGCGACGAUCCCUAGCUGGUCUGCGAGGAUGAGCAGCCGCACUGGAACUGAGACACGGUCCAGAAUCCUACGGGAGGCAGCAGUGGGGGAUAUUGCACAUAGGGCGCAAGCCUGGUGCAGCGAUGCCGCGUGUGUGAAGAAGGCCUUGGGGUUGUAAGGUACUUUCAGCGAGGAGGCGUUACUCGCAGAAGAAGCACCGGCUAACUCCGUGCCAGCAGCCGCGGUAAUAC